rnacentral:lncRNA from 1 species
GUUGACGUCAACCGCAUAUAUUCAAUGGUAAGAGAUGUUACGUAACUAGCCUCAUGUCAUGAAUAUGCAUAGCCAUCUCGAGACAACUCCUAAAUAAAGUGAUAUUUUUUUCUCAACGUUGCUGGGAAGUCACAUCUUCUACUUAUAUCAGUACACUCUUAACAGCCUAAGCAUUACGAAACUUAUAUUCAAUCAAAUAAACAUAAUGUAGCAAAUUCGACACUCUCAAUGACCUCCAUACAAAAACUCAUCGAUGUCACAUGAUGAAGAAUUGACCCAGCUAUCCUUUCCCCCUUCUUCUAUGGUGAAGUGCACGUCUUCACUCCUGAGGAUAUUUUUAUUUGUGGGUUCUUAGCCAGACGCGAUCAGAGCUUGUAGCAGCACAACCGAGAGGGAGGAGAAUGGGCCUGCCAAGAAAACAAAAUAGCCUUCCAAGUGGAAAGUAGAGAUUCGGAAGAGAAGGAUGAACUCUCUGCGCACAUCAACAACUGACACCCCACGAAGCAUCAUUACCCAUCGCGCCACAAAAGCCACUACCCUUGCAGCGAACAACUGCUUAGGUAGCAGAGCGAGUGAUGUCCCCGAUUGAAACGCUAUUAGCUCGCACAUUCUCCUCACUCUCGUCCUCACAAGAACGUUCUCAAGCGAAUGUAGUGGAGAAUACAAUCGGAGCAUGAGUGUGGAGCAUCGUAGUAUGUUUGGAGAAACACCCCUAGAGUUUGAGAGUUACAAG